CCGAGGAGCGUUACCAUGGCAACCGUGCCGCGGAGGCCUUGAGAGGCCACACGCCCUAUGUUGGUCUGCGAGAAAUCAAACUUCGAACAGGACAAGCCCGAAGCCCGCUUCUCCGGGAGACGGGGUGCCACAAUUGCAAGAUGAAGGUGUAUACUGCCACUCAAUCUCACUGGGAUUGGCACCCAUAUGCACUAUGGUCAUUUUGCUUGAGUCCAUCAAACUUCUGAUCCUAAGAUUGCACCUUUGGCAUACUGGACCCUUGCUCCACAGAAUUCUUUGCCUGGAAUUUUCUUCCCAGAAUCUUUGCAUGUCAUUCCCUCUGUUGCUGAGUUACCGGGAUCUCAAUGUAAACGUUACGUACUGACAGAGGCUGCUGUGAACUGAAUUGCGUGCUUCCCAAAAUUCAUAUGUUGAUACUGUCACCCCCGGUACCUAAGGAUGUGACUACAUUUGGAGAUAGCAUCAUCAAAGAGGUAAUGAGAAGAACAUUGAAAAGAGCAUCACAUCAGAAUAUCGAGGUGGGCCUGGAAGUUGGUGGGAGUGUGGCCUGGAUGUGGAAGGCGGGACCUGUCUUUGGCUCACCUGCCUUCCCACAGCUCACCUGGAGCUGUGGCACCAGCAUUAGAGCCCGGUCAUGGAGUGUGGUGCCCUCAGACUGCUGUCACACCACCUCUGUGAUGGAGAACAAGUUCAGCAGCCUUCAGUAGACAUACAAGCUGGACAGCCAGGGCUUCUGGCCAACCAGACGCAGCAAGAUGGAAUUCCACUGCAAAGUGUACAGCAACUUAGUAUGUGGAGAUGAACAGCAGCAAGGUGUUUUUAAUGGCAUGCCCUAUGCCACCAUGCUCAGGGGAGAUGCUGCUGCUUGCCAGAAGCAUGGGGAUGGCAGGCCUGAGGCUCCACUUCACUGAACUCUACCAUCAUUAUAGAAGUUUUGGAGUAGCCUACGAAAGACAGAAUCAUGUCAUUGGUCAGAAGACAAAAUCCUGUACAGUGAGUAGUUCUCACUGUAGAUAUGUAGAUUUAUUACCCUAAAAACAAUGCUAAUUUGGCAUUGGUUCAUGUAGCACCUGCUAUGAACAAAUGCCUAAAAUUAGAAGCAGUUUCUCCUAAAGUAAGAUUACAUGAGGCCAGGCGUGGUGGUUCACGCCUGUAAUCCCAGCACUUCAGGAGGCCAAGGCGGGCGGAUCACGAGGUCAGGAGAUUGAGACCAUCCUGGCUAACAGAGUGAAACCCCGUCUCUACUAAAAAUACCAAAAAUUAGCCGGGGGUGGUGGCUGGCACCUGUAGUCCCAUCUACUCGGGAGGCUGAGGCAGGAGAAUGGCGUGAACCUGGAAGGCUUGUUGACCAAUGACGGUCAACAAGCAUGUAAAAAAUGUUCAACAUUGCCAAUGAUCAGAGAAAUGCUAAUUAAAAAUCACAAUGAAAUUUUGUACAAUUUUUUACAAUCACAUUUUACACUUUCAUAAUGGCUAAUUAUUACAAAGCAGAAAAAGGAUAGAUAUUGGCAAGCAUACAGAGAUUUUUCAGAAAACUAAAUAGAAUUUCCAUUUGAUCCAGCACUCCCACUAUUGGGUAUCUACUUAAAGGAAAAUAAUUCAUUAUGUAAAGAAGAUACCCACACUCAUAUGUUUAUUGAAGCACUAUUGACAGUAGCAAAGAUAGCAUAUCUUCAAUUUAAAUUUAUCAAUCAAUUGAAAUUUAUCAAUGACUGACUAUACAUUUAUACCAUGGAAUACUACUCAGUCAGAAAGAAUAAAAUCAUCUUUUGCAGCCACAUGAAUGGAACUGGAGGCCAUUAUUGUAAGUGAAAUAACUCAGAAACAGAAAAUCAAAUACUGAAGUUUCCCACUUAUAAGUGGUAGCUCAAUAAUACAUACACUUGGAUAUAGAGACUGGAAGAAUACACACUGGAGACUCAGAAAGAUGGGAGGUUGGUAGAGGGUUUAGGAAUGAGAAAAUACCUAAUUGGGACAAUGAGUACCAUUCAGAUGAUUGUUACACAAAAGCCCAUACUUCAUCACUGUACAACAUGUUCCUGUAAUGAAACUGCAUUUGUACUAACAUACUAAUAAAGAGAAAAAGACCCUGACUUUCAUCAAGAGGGCAGACUGCAUAGACCACAUAAUUUUCAUAAAUAUUUAGAUUAUGCAGAAAAAUAAUUUUAAUAAAAAUAAAUACAAAAUGAUAUUGUAUUUUAAGAAUGGUGUAAAAAGAAAAUUUGUUGAAUUAGAGUAGUUAGUACUUAGCAGAUACAAUAUGUUAGGCAAGAUUGUAAGCCAUUAGACAUUUGUAGACAGAAUAUUUAACAGUGUAAAAUAAGUAACACAAAGAUUCAUUGGCAAUGACAAAUUGACAUAUUUUAAUCAUAUUAGAUGAUAUUAAAACCAUUACAAAGUUUACUAUUUUGUGUCAUAAUAAAGGAUCAUAACGUUAAAUAACUUCUUUCAAAAGUUUG
rnacentral:lncRNA from 1 species